UACGUAGGGUGCAAGCGUUAAUCGGAAUUACUGGGCGUAAAGCGUGCGCAGGCGGUUUUGUAAGUCAGAUGGGAAAUCCCCGGGCUUAACCUGGGAACUGCGUUUGAAACUACAAGGCUAGAGUGUGGCAGAGGGGGGUGGAAUUCCGCGUGUAGCAGUGAAAUGCGUAGAUAUGCGGAGGAACACCGAUGGCGAAGGCAAUCCCCUGGGCCUGCACUGACGCUCAUGCACGAAAGCGUGGGGAGCAAACAGG
rnacentral:rRNA from 1 species